GUGAGUCAUCGAAUCUUUGAACGCACAUUGCGCCUCUAGUAACUUGGAGGCAUGCCUGUCUGAGCGUCAUUUAAAACCAUAAACUCUACCGUGUUUGUAUUGGGCAUCGUCCCUGGACGUAGCCUCAAAGUCAUUGGUCUUAUACGCGGACGAGCUCCAUUAGGACAGACCGCAUGUGGACUUUAAAUCUCUGACUUGACCUCAGAUCAGGUAGGACUACCGCCUGAACUUAAGCAUAUCAAUAAGCGGAGGA
rnacentral:misc_RNA from 1 species